rnacentral:misc_RNA from 1 species
AAGUCGUAACAAGGUUUCCGUAGGUGAACCUGCGGAAGGAUCAUUACUGAUUUGGCGGACCGAGCGUUAGCGAGGUUCCGCGAUCACUUGUAUUUAAAACCCACACUUUGAAUGUAAUAUGUAUAUUUUUGUAUUUUUAAUAAUAAAAGAUCACUUUCAACAACGGAUCUCUUGGCUCUC